UACGUAGGUGGCUAGCGUUGUCCGGAUUUACUGGGCGUAAAGGGUGCGUAGGCGGCGCAACAAGUCACUUGUGAAAUCUCCGGGCUUAACUCGGAGCGGCCAAGUGAUACUGUCGUGCUAGAGUGCGGAAGGGGCUACUGGAAUUCUCGGUGUAGCGGUGAAAUGCGUAGAUAUCGAGAGGAACACCUGCGGCGAAGGCGGGUAGCUGGGCCGACACUGACGCUGAGGCGCGAAAGCCAGGGGAGCGAACGGG
rnacentral:rRNA from 1 species